GUUGAACUUGGAUAUGAAACUGGCAUUUAACUGCAACCACUAGAGUUUAGUUUUGACUUCCUUUGUGUUACUUUAUUUUAAUUUGUCAUACAGUCUCAUGAUAUAAGAGGUACGGACCAUGUGGCAGCCAGAGGAACACAGAGGACCCCAUUUGGACGUGGCCAACUCCAGCCGGCUGUGGGGACAGGAAGGGUCCUGGUGGGUCCCCAGAUCCCUAAGCACAGGAAACAACAGGCUGUGUUUUCAGAACCCUGAGAUGACCACAUGAAGAAACCACCUACUGAAGGAUGAGAAGACCAUGUGGCACAAAGACAAGCCACCUGGCUGAGGUCCUACACCCACCAGUCUGCCACUGCCUGCCUGCCUUGUGAGGCCAUGGUAGACCACCCGGUCCCAGCCAAGCUGCCAGCUGACCGUAGACAUCAUCCAAGCCAACCCAGACCAGAAGAACCACCUGGCUCUGACCCAAAGAAUUCUGAGAAAUAAGAAAUGUUUGUUGUGUGAAGCUACAAAGUUUUGGAGUGAUUUGUGACAUAGCAGACGUUGACUGAUAGAACGACAAUUGUCAGCACUUUGAAGUCAAGAUCUUGUCUUAUUCACUGAACACAGAGUCUAGCACAUUGCUGGGCACAGCGACUGCCUAAUUAAUACUUUUAAAAUGAAAACCCUGAUCUCAGAAGGAAAGAUUCUGACUGUACCCUCCCCUGUGUCAAGUGACUCAAUCUGCUUCCGUCAGCCUCAUCUGUCCCCAGGAUGACAUUCGUGAGGCUGCUUCAUUUAAAUGUAAACAGACUGUAAACGCUGUGGAAGUGGGGACCUCCUUCGUGUUUGCUCACAGCUGUGUGGUUUGGCACCUAUCACAGCAACGUGACAGGGCUUCGGUAACUAUCUGCUGAAUAAAUGAACCAGCAUAGUGUGGCA
rnacentral:lncRNA from 13 species